rnacentral:rRNA from 1 species
CCUACGGGUGUCAGCAGUGGGGAAUAUUGGUCAAUGGAGGAAACUCUGACCCAGCAACGUCGCGUGAAUGAUGAAGGUCUUCGGAUUGUAAAGUUCUUUUCUAAGGGAAGAAGAAAGUGACGGUACCUUAGGAAUAAGCCUCGGCUAACUACGUGCCAGCAGACGCUGUAAUACGUAGGAGGCAAGCGUUAACCGGAAUGACUGGGCGUAAAGGGUGCGUAGGUGGUUUGACAAGUUGGUAGCGUAACUCCGAGGCUUAAACUCGGCACUACUACCAAAACUGUUGGACUCGAGUGCAGGAGAGGCAAAUGGAAUUCGUGGUGUAGCGGUGGAAUGCGUAGAUAUUAGGAAGAACACCGGUGGCGAAGGCGAUUUGCUGAACUGUAACUGACACUGAGGCACGAAAGCGUGGGGAGCAAACAGGAUUAGAUACCCCUGUAGUC